CCUACGGGAGGCAGCAGUGAGGAAUAUUGGUCAAUGGGCGAGAGCCUGAACCAGCCAAAUCGCGUGAGGGAGUACUGCCCUAUGGGUUGUAAACCUCUUUUGUCGGGGAGCAAAAGCCGGACGUGUCCGGCUGUGAGAGUACCCGAAGAAAAAGCAUCGGCUAACUCCGUGCCAGCAGCCGCGGUAAUACGGAGGAUGCGAGCGUUAUCCGGAUUUAUUGGGUUUAAAGGGUGCGCAGGCGGAUUUUUAAGUCAGCGGUAAAAUCGUGGGGCUCAACCCCAUCCAGCCGUUGAAACUGGGGAUCUAGAGUGUGCGAGAGGUAUGCGGAAUGCGUGGUGUAGCGGUGAAAUGCAUAGAUAUCACGCAGAACCCCGAUUGCGAAGGCAGCAUACCGGUGCACAACUGACGCUCAGGCACGAAAGCGUGGGUAUCGAACAGGAUUAGAUACCCGAGUAGUC
rnacentral:rRNA from 1 species